rnacentral:rRNA from 1 species
UACGUAGGGUGCGAGCGUUGUCCGGAAUUAUUGGGCGUAAAGAGCUCGUAGGCGGUUUGUCGCGUCGGCCGUGAAAACUUGGGGCUUAACUCCAAGCUUGCGGUCGAUACGGGCAGACUUGAGUUCGGCAGGGGAGACUGGAAUUCCUGGUGUAGCGGUGAAAUGCGCAGAUAUCAGGAGGAACACCGGUGGCGAAGGCGGGUCUCUGGGCCUUACCUGACGCUGAGGCGCGAAAGCUAGGGGAGCGAACAGG